AGAGUUCGAUCCUGGCUCAGGACGAACGCUGGCGGCGUGCUUCAUACAUGCAAGUCGAACGAGAAGCUUACUUCGGUAAGUGGAAAGUGGCGGACGGGUGAGUAAUGUGUAGAGAAUCUGCCCUUGAGCGGGGGACAACAGCUGGAAACGGUUGCUAAUACCCCAUAUGAGGUAAGUUGAAAUACUUAUCUUGAAAACUCCGGUGCUCAAGGAUGAGUCUGCAUCUGAUUAGCUAGUUGGCGGUGUAAUGGACCACCAAGGCGACGAUCAGUAGCUGGUUUGAGAGGAUGAUCAGCCACAAUGGGACUGAGACACGGCCCAU
rnacentral:rRNA from 1 species